AUGGACGACGACGCCGGCGACGCCUCGCCGCCGCCGGGACCUGCCCCCCCUGCUGCCACAGGCGCCCCGUCGUUGCGUGACAUGGCGGCGUCCCCUACCAGCUCGCGCUCCGUGACGGAGACGGUGAACGGCUCCCACCGCUUCGUGAUCCAGGGCUACUCCCUCGCCAAGGGGAUGGGCGUCGGGAAGCACAUCGCGAGCGAGACCUUCACCGUCGGGGGAUACCAGUGGGCUAUCUACUUCUACCCAGACGGGAAGAACCCCGAGGACAACUCGGCCUACGUUUCCGUCUUCAUCGCGCUCGCUUCCGAGGGCACUGACGUCCGCGCUCUCUUUGAGCUCACGCUGCAGGACCAGAGCGGCAAGGGCAAGCACAAGGUCCACUCCCACUUCGAUCGCUCGCUCGAGUCUGGGCCCUACACCCUCAAGUACCGAGGCUCCAUGUGGGGUUACAAACGGUUCUUUCGGCGAACUGCUCUUGAGACAUCGGACUUUCUUAAAGAUGAUUGUUUGAGGAUAAACUGCACUGUGGGUGUUGUGGUUUCAACUAUUGAUUACUCCAGACCACACUCCAUUCAGGUUCCAGACUCUGAUCUUGGCUACCACUUCGGUUCUCUUUUGGACAGUAAUGAAGGGGUUGAUGUUAUUCUUAAUGUGAGUGGAGAGAGGUUUCAUGCCCAUAAGUUGGUGUUGGCUGCACGGUCUACUGUAUUUAGAUCCAAACUUUUUGACGAUGAAUCAGAAGGAGACAAGAACGAGGUUAAUGAGAGUGAGGAUCUGAAGGAGAUUGUUCUUGAUGAUCUAGAGCCCAAGGUUUUCAAGGCAAUGCUUCAUUUCAUCUACAGAGAUACCCUCGUUGAUGAUUAUGAGUUGGAUGCAUCAAGCUCCAUGGGCUCUAUUUUUGAUACUUUGGCGGCAAAGUUGUUGGCCGCAGCAGACAAGUAUGACUUAGGAAGGUUAAGAUUGCUAUGUGAAUCUUACUUGUGCAAAGGCAUUUCUGUGGCCUCGGUUGCAAGUACUCUUGCAUUGGCUGAUAGUCACCACGCCAUGGAGCUUAAAGCCGUUUGCCUAAAAUUUGCUGCAGAAAAUCUUUCAGCUGUGAUCCGGACUGACGGGUUUGAUUACCUCAAGGAUAAUUGCCCAUCACUUCAGUCGGAGAUACUGAGAACUGUUGCUGGGUGUGAGGAGCCGUGCAGUAGUGGCGGGAAAAGCCAGAGUGUAUGGGGACAGCUCUCGGACGGUGGCGACACUAGUGGCCGUAGGGUGAGGCCAAGAAUCUGA
rnacentral:rRNA from 1 species